GACUGCAUUUGAAACUGCUGUUCUUGAGUGAAGUAGAGGUAAGCGGAAUUCCUAGUGUAGCGGUGAAAUGCGUAGAUAUUAGGAGGAACACCAGUGGCGAAGGCGGCUUACUGGACUGUAACUGACGUUGAGGCUCGAAAGCGUGGGGAGCAAACAGA
rnacentral:rRNA from 1 species